rnacentral:rRNA from 1 species
UACAGAGGGUGCGAGCGUUAAUCGGAAUUACUGGGCGUAAAGCGAGCGUAGUCGGUUGUUUAAGUCGGAUGUGAAAUCCCCGGGCUCAACCUGGGAAUUGCAUUCGAUACUGGACAGCUAGAGUUCGGCAGAGGGAGGCGGAAUUUCCGGUGUAGCGGUGAAAUGCGUAGAUAUCGGAAGGAACAUCAGUGGCGAAAGCGGCUUCCUGGACCAGAACUGACGAUCAGGCUCGAAAGCGUGGGAGCAAACAGG